GGGUUUGAUCCUGGCUCAGGACGAACGCUGGCGGCGUGCUUAACACAUGCAAGUCGAACGGAAAGGCCCUGCUUUUGUGGGGUGCUCGAGUGGCGAACGGGUGAGUAACACGUGAGUAACCUGCCCUUGACUUUGGGAUAACUUCAGGAAACUGGGGCUAAUACCGGAUAGGAGCUCCUGCUGCACGGUGGGGGUUGGAAAGUUUCGGCGGUUGGGGAUGGACUCGCGGCUUAUCAGCUUGUUGGUGGGGUAGUGGCUUACCAAGGCUUUGACGGGUAGCCGGCCUGAGGGGGUGACCGGCCACAUUGGGACUGAGAUACGGCCCAGACUCCUACGGGAGGCAGCAGUGGGGAAUAUUGCACAAUGGGCGGAAGCCUGAUGCAGCAACGCCGCGUGCGGGAUGACGGCCUUCGGGUUGUAAACCGCUUUCGCCUGUGACGAAGCGUGAGUGACGGUAAUGGGUAAAGAAGCACCGGCUAACUACGUGCCAGCAGCCGCGGUGAUACGUAGGGUGCGAGCGUUGUCCGGAUUUAUUGGGCGUAAAGGGCUCGUANGUGGUUGAUCGCGUCGGAAGUGUAAUCUUGGGGCUUAACCCUGANCGUGCUUUCNAUACNGNUUGACUUGANGAANGUAGGNNANAAUGNAAUUCCUGNUGNANCGNUGNAAUGCNCANAUAUCANGANGAACACCANUG
rnacentral:rRNA from 1 species